GGUUUCAAUAAUUGCCCAGGCGAAAUCAUUUAUAGGAGUGCAUCCAUUACGAUUCCCCCACGGAAAGCCAAACAAGCUACAUUAUUGAAGCGGGACCGAAGAGGAACCUCCCUGGAGUCACGAUGCCCGUUGGUAAAUUGAACCGAGCAGUGCUCCUGAUGCGGUACAAAUAUGACGUGAUGAAUUUCCAGCGUAGCAGACACAAAUCGUGGGAAACGCUCUUGCGGAACGUUCCGGGUGUCGUGUCUGAUUCACAUUGGGAAUUGUUCGGUGAAAUGGUCAUGAUUCCAGUUUGAAAAUCGCAAUUGAUGUAAGAGAAGGAAAUGGCAGCCAAAUUUUUCGAUAUAUCGAAAGAUAAAUUGUAUCGGAUAAGGAAACAGUAGCGUAUUGAGUAGUACCUGGUGUAGCGACCUGUCUCCCAUUGGUAAACGCUAUGGCUGGAGUACUAAUGCUGUUGCCAUGGCAUACGAAACCAACGAUAUCUUUGGGAGAAACUUUCUUACUGGUGUAUCUAAUUCCGGAGGAAGGGAAAAUGGAAUCCAAUCGGACAAAGCACUACUUCCCGAUUCAAGGCUCACGAUUCUUGUUGUAGUAUGUACUGCGCUCAAAGUGGCGACGAUUUCCUUAGAAAACCUUAGAUUCCUUUGAGACAAUUCUAAUGACAAAUGUACUGUUGCUAGUGUUUUUCUGCUCGUGAACCUUUCAUAUAGUGACCCCUAGGAUCUCAGGUACCAGCUUGGUUUGAUCACUUGGUCCGGCGUGAACUGACAUUACUGGUGAACAUGCAUAAAAAUGACAAAAAAUUGACUAAUUGCUUUUAAUCUUCAGGCGGUAUUCAGGUAUAACAAUAUUUAUGACGUGCAGGCAGAUUUGCAAUGAAUAAAAUUUUCUAAAAUUGAAUAUA